GUUAAAACCUAUUUAUAGCUGCUGAAAAAUUUCAUGUCUUCAUAUUAUUGCUUUCAAUGGUUGGAUUAUUGGUCAUUUGGGGAACAGGGGAAGGAUCUUUGUACCAGAACACUGAAGAAAGCAAGGGGGGAAAACAUCCUGAGAGAUCAUCUGACCAAAACCAAGUUCCAAAACUUUUAGAGAAGGCAUUUCCACCUCUUCCCCAGGAGAUAAGAGCUAUCAGUGUCACAAUGCUAAUGGGAAAAUACAGGUUAACAGGGAAAAAUAAAACCCUGCUGCCAAGGGAGGGGGGGAUGCCCAGGAAGGGCUUGGCAGCACCAGGGAGGUGUCAGGAGCAGGAGCAGGGCCCAGCUGGGUGUCUUCCCUGGAGAACUGAAUCAAAGCCAGAAGAAAUGUCAGCACAAGCUGAUCCGACUCAG
rnacentral:lncRNA from 12 species